rnacentral:rRNA from 1 species
UACGAAGGGGGCUAGCGUUGUUCGGAAUUACUGGGCGUAAAGCGCGCGCAGGCGGUUCUUCAAGUCAGUGGUGAAAGCCCGGAGCUCAACUCCGGAACUGCCAUUGAAACUGUAGAACUUGAGGAUGAGAGAGGUGAGUGGAAUUCCCAGUGUAGAGGUGAAAUUCGUAGAUAUUGGGAAGAGCACCAGUGGCGAAGGCGGCUCACUGGCUCAUUUCUGACGCUCAGGCGCGACAGCGUGGGGAUCAAACAGG